ACGUUAGUAAUUGAGAUUUAACUGAUGAUAGUUAGCUGCCAUUAAUGAGAUUUAUUAGACUUACUCCAGCCGGAGCACGAUCCGAAUCUGUCCUGAAUCUAAUUAGAUCGAUCCACGCCAGUUCUCUUUCGUCUCUAAAAUUUAAAAAUAAUAAUAAUAAUAAUCCUAACCCAUCCAUCCAGCCAUCUCCCUCUCCUUCCCCAACACCGCCGUCAAUGAACCAGUUUGUCGAGGAAGAGCAGGUCAACAGGAAUCUCACUGGAGAAGCGAUUCACCUGGAGGUGGACAAUAUGCAGCUCCUUGCAGCCGGCGAGGUUCAAUCGGAGGGGUCAGACAGGGCGUUGAAGUAGAGGCUAACUAUUUAGAGGGUGGUGAGGUUGUUGAAGAUUCUGGUGGGGAUCUAGCCCAUGAGAUGGAUGGCCAAGAGGCGGAUCUCGGUAACACGGUCAUUAUUGUAUUUCACGUCCACCCACGACCAAGGUGUCAUUGACGGAGGAGGAGGAGGAGACCAUCGCAGCCACCGCCACUGCUUGGAAGGUCACCGUCACCUAGUUGAAGACCGCCCACUAGAGAAGUGGCUCCCCUGGAGGGAGACAGUCCAGAGCUCCUUGCAGUCGGUGAAGUUUGGUGAGAGGGGAUCAGAGAGGGUGUUGAGGCAAAGGCUAACCACCUGGAGGGCAGUGAGGUUGCUGAGGGUUCCAGUGAUGACCUAGCCCUCGAGACAGA
rnacentral:lncRNA from 1 species